rnacentral:rRNA from 1 species
AGCCGCGGUAAUACGUAGGUGGCAAGCGUUAUCCGGAUUUAUUGGGCGUAAAGCGAGCGCAGGCGGUUACUUAGGUCUGAUGUGAAAGCCUUCGGCUUAACCGAAGAAGUGCAUCGGAAACCGGGUGACUUGAGUGCAGAAGAGGACAGUGGAACUCCAUGUGUAGCGGUGGAAUGCGUAGAUAUAUGGAAGAACACCAGUGGCGAAGGCGGCUGUCUGGUCUGCAACUGACGCUGAGGCUCGAAAGCAUGGGUAGCGAACAGGAUUAGAUACCCUGGUAGUCCAUGCCGUAAACGAUGAGUGCUAGGUGUUGGAGGGUUUCCGCCCUUCAGUGCCGCAGCUAACGCAUUAAGCACUCCGCCUGGGGAGUACGACCGCAAGGUUGAAACUCAAAGGAAUUGACGGGGGCCCGCACAAGCGGUGGAGCAUGUGGUUUAAUUCGAAGCUACGCGAAGAACCUUACCAGGUCUUGACAUCUUGCGCUAACCUAAGAGAUUAGGCGUUCCCUUCGGGGACGCAAUGACAGGUGGUGCAUGGCC